CAUGUUUCCUGUAAGUUCAAAGUGACUUGCUUGUGUUCCUCUUCUCAUUGUGUUUUAAAUGAAUAAGUAAUGCAUUCAGUGCUAAAGAACUCAUACAACUUUUGGUGGAAUGCAGUAAGAAACAUGGUGUAGCAACUAUGAAAACUCGGGAACUCUUUGACUUUAUAGUCGAUCCAUGUAUUGCUGAUGAUGCGGUGGUAUCUAG
rnacentral:lncRNA from 1 species